GUCAGCCCCUCACGCGACGCUAUCUCGCUGAACUCCCCCAGGGCCGGAAGGCAGCAAGGGUAGGUGAGCUCUGGUGGGUGCGUGAGGGGCCCUCGUC
rnacentral:SRP_RNA from 1 species